GCACUGAGCCACCCAGGCGCCCCUUACUUUAACAUUUCUAGGAGGAGACAAGAGAGUCAGAGAAGGUGAAGAGACCACGGAUGGAAUCAGAGUGAUUCAGGACAUGAGACAAGGAACGCUGGUAGUCUUUAGAAGCCGGCAAAGUCUCUCUCUAGACAUCAUCCAGCAAAGAACUGAGGCCAUCAGUUCAACAGCCCAUGAAGAACUAAAUCCUAACAAUAACAAUGUUGAGGGAAGUUGAAAGUGGAUCAUCUCCCAGUUGGGUCUUCAAGUGAGAUUACAGUCUUAGCCAGCACCCAAAAUACAACCCACGAAAAAACCUUGAGCCAGAGACACCAAGAGAAAUAGUUGGUGCCCUAGUAACCCCCAGUGGUGUGAGGAAGGAUUACACUUAACCACACUUUGAGGUUAAAGUGUGGCCACCUGACUUGCACUGGCCAGUGAAACAUGAGGAUUUGUGACUCAUGUCACCCCGCCCAGAUGUGCAAAUCUUCAUGACCUCUC